rnacentral:rRNA from 1 species
GAUGAACGCUAGCGGCAGCCUUAACACAUGCAAGUCGAGGGGUAACGUGAGUGCUUGCACUUGACGACGACCGGCGCACGGGUGCGGAACGCGUAUGGAACCUACCUUUAUCAGGGAGAUAGCCCAUGGAAACGUGGAUUAAUAUCCCAUAGUAUUAUUUUAUCGCCUGAUAGAAUAAUUAAAGAAUUUCGGAUAGAGAUGGCCAUGCGUAUCAUUAGCUAGUAGGCGAGGUAACGGCUCACCUAGGCGACGAUGAUUAGGGGUCCUGAGAGGGAGAUCCCCCACACUGGUACUGAGACACGGACCAGACUCCUACGGGAGGCAGCAGUGAGGAAUAUUGGGCAAUGGAGGCAACUCUGACCCAGCCAUGCCGCGUGCAGGAAGACGGCCCUACGGGUUGUAAACUGCUUUUAUACAGGAAGAACACCACCCACGUGUGGGUGACUGACGGUACUGUAAGAAUAAGGACCGGCUAACUCCGUG